rnacentral:rRNA from 1 species
AUUGAACGCUGGCGGCAGGCCUAACACAUGCAAGUCGAGCGAGCGGCGGACGGGGGAGUAAUGUAUGGGAAACUGCCUGAUGGAGGGGGAUAACUACUGGAAACGGUAGCUAAUACCGCAUACCAUCAGAUGUGCCCAGAUGGGAUUAGCUAGUAGGUGGGGUAAUGGCUCACCUAGGCGACGAUCCCUAGCUGGUCUGAGAGGAUGACCAGCCACACUGGAACUGAGACACGGUCCGGACUCCUACGGGAGGCAGCAUUGGGGAAUAUUGCACAAUGGGCGCAAGCCUGAUGCAGCCAUGCCGCUUGUUUGAAGAAGGCCUUCGGGUUGUAAAGCACUUUCAGCGGGGAGGCGUUACCCGCAGAAGAAGCACCGGCUAACUCCGUGCCAGCAGCCGCGGUAAUAC